rnacentral:rRNA from 1 species
AUUUACAUUUGAGUGAGUGGCGAACUGGUGAGUAACACGUGGGAAACCUGCCCAGAAGCGGGGGAUAACACCUGGAAACAGAUGCUAAUACCGCAUAACAACUUGGACCGCAUGGUCCGAGUUUGAAAGAUGGCUUCGGCUAUCACUUUUGGAUGGUCCCGCGGCGUAUUAGCUAGAUGGUGGGGUAACGGCUCACCAUGGCAAUGAUACGUAGCCGACCUGAGAGGGUAAUCGGCCACAUUGGGACUGAGACACGGCCCAAACUCCUACGGGAGGCAGCAGUAGGGAAUCUUCCACAAUGGACGAAAGUCUGAUGGAGCAACGCCGCGUGAGUGAAGAAGGGUUUCGGCUCGUAAAACUCUGUUGUUAAAGAAGAACAUAUCUGAGAGUAACUGUUCAGGUAUUGACGGUAUUUAACCAGAAAGCCACGGCUAACUACGUGCCAGCAGCCGCGGUAAUACGUAGGUGGCAAGCGUUGUCCGGAUUUAUUGGGCGUAAAGCGAGCGCAGGCGGUUUUUUAAGUCUGAUGUGAAAGCCUUCGGCUCAACCGAAGAAGUGCAUCGGAAACUGGGAAACUUGAGUGCAGAAGAGGACAGUGGAACUCCAUGUGUAGCGGUGAAAUGCGUAGAUAUAUGGAAGAACACCAGUGGCGAAGGCGGCUGUCUGGUCUGUAACUGACGCUGAGGCUCGAAAGUAUGGGUAGCAAACAGGAUUAGAUACCCUGGUAGUCCAUACCGUAAACGAUGAAUGCUAAGUGUUGGAGGGUUUCCGCCCUUCAGUGCUGCAGCUAACGCAUUAAGCAUUCCGCCUGGGGAGUACGGCCGCAAGGCUGAAACUCAAAGGAAUUGACGGGGGCCCGCACAAGCGGUGGAGCAUGUGGUUUAAUUCGAAGCUACGCGAAGAACCUUACCAGGUCUUGACAUACUAUGCAAAUCUAAGAGAUUAGACGUUCCCUUCGGGGACAUGGAUACAGGUGGUGCAUGGUUGUCGUCAGCUCGUGUCGUGAGAUGUUGGGUUAAGUCCCGCAACGAGCGCAACCCUUAUUAUCAGUUGCCAGCAUUAAGUUGGGCACUCUGGUGAGACUGCCGGUGACAAACCGGAGGAAGGUGGGGAUGACGUCAAAUCAUCAUGCCCCUUAUGACCUGGGCUACACACGUGCUACAAUGGAUGGUACAACGAGUUGCGAACUCGCGAGAGUAAGCUAAUCUCUUAAAGCCAUUCUCAGUUCGGAUUGUAGGCUGCAACUCGCCUACAUGAAGUCGGAAUCGCUAGUAAUCGCGGAUCAGCAUGCCGCGGUGAAUACGUUCCCGGGCCUUGUACA